GACGAACGCUGGCGGCGUGCUUAACACAUGCAAGUCGAACGCUGAAGCUCAGCUUGCUGGUGGAUGAGUGGCGAACGGGUGAGUAACACGUGAGUAACCUGCCCUCUUCUUUGGGAUAACGCCCGCAAACGGGUGCUAAUACUGGAUAUUCACUGAUUCUCGCAUGGGGGUUGGUGGAAAGGUUUUUUCUGGUGGGGGAUGGGCUCGCGGCCUAUCAGCUUGUUGGUGGGGUGAUGGCCUACCAAGGCUUUGACGGGUAGCCGGCCUGAGAGGGUGACCGGUCACAUUGGGACUGAGAUACGGCCCAGACUCCUACGGGAGGCAGCAGUGGGGAAGAGUGCACAAUGGGCGAAAGCCUGAUGCAGCGACGCCGCGUGAGGGAUGGAGGCCUUCGGGUUGUAAACCUCUUUCGCGCAUGGUCAAGCCGCAGCUUUGGGUUGUGGUGAGGGUAGUGGGUAAAGAAGCGCCGGCUAACUACGUG
rnacentral:rRNA from 1 species